rnacentral:rRNA from 1 species
GACGAACGCUGGCGGCGCGCCUAACACAUGCAAGUCGAACGAGCGAGCGAGAGCUUGCUUUCUCGAGCGAGUGGCGAACGGGUGAGUAACGCGUGAGGAACCUGCCUCAAAGAGGGGGACAACAGUUGGAAACGACUGCUAAUACCGCAUAAGCCCACGUCUCGGCAUCGAGUAGGGGGAAAAGGAGCAAUCCGCUUUGAGAUGGCCUCGCGUCCGAUUAGCUAGUUGGUGGGGUAACGGCCCACCAAGGCGACGAUCGGUAGCCGGACUGAGAGGUUGAACGGCCACAUUGGGACUGAGACACGGCCCAGACUCCUACGGGAGGCAGCAGUGGGGAAUAUUGCACAAUGGGGGAAACCCUGAUGCAGCGACGCCGCGUGGAGGAAGAAGGUCUUCGGAUUGUAAACUCCUGUUGUUGGGGAAGAUAAUGACGGUACCCAACAAGGAAGUGACGGCUAACUACGUG